GAUGAAGAACGUAGCGAAAUGCGAUAAGUAGUGUGAAUUGCAGAAUUCAGUGAAUCAUCGAAUCUUUGAACGCACAUUGCGCCCCUUGGUAUCCCGAGGGGCAUACCUGUUCGAGCGUCAUUUCACCACUCAAGCCUGGCUUGGUGUUGGGCGACGUCCCCUUUGGGGACGCGCCUCGAAACGCUCGGCGGCGUGGCACCGGCUUUAAGCGUAGCAGAAUCUUUCGCUUUGGAAGUCGGGGCCCCGUCUGCCGGAAGACCUACUCGCAAGGUUGACCUCGGAUCAGGCAGGGAUACCCGCUGAACUUAAGCAUAUCAAUAAGCGGAGGA
rnacentral:misc_RNA from 1 species